rnacentral:rRNA from 1 species
CCUACGGGAGGCAGCAGUCGAGAAUCAUUCACAAUGGGGGAAACCCUGAUGGUGCGACGCCGCGUGGGGGAAUGAAGGUCUUCGGAUUGUAAACUCCUGUCAUGUGGGAGCAAAUUAAAAAGAUAGUACCACAAGAGGAAGAGACGGCUAACUCUGUGCCAGCAGCUGCGGUAAUACAGAGGUGUCAAGCGUUGUUCGGAAUCACUGGGCGUAAAGCGUGCGUAGGCUGUUUCGUAAGUCGUGUGUGAAAGGCGUGGGCUCAACGCGCGGACGGUAGAUGAUACUGCGAGGCUAGAGUAAUGGAGGGGGAACCGGAAUUCUCGGUGUAGCAGUGAAAUGCGUAGAGAUCGGGAGGAACACUCGUGGCGAAGGCGGGUUCCUGGGCAUUAACUGACGCUGAGGCACGAAGGCGAGGGGAGCGAAAGGGAUUAGAUACCCCAGUAGUC